UCGAAGGGUUGCGACAGCCCAUACGUCUCCCCGAGGACGGGCAACUUCCGAAUGGACGACCUAAGACAGGGGACCGUACUUGUCGCUUUGAUACAUCGGCACCAGCAGUACCCUCGGCACCUCCGUAUCAAGGGGGUGGAAUGACAGGAGUAAAACAUCAGGAAUGAAGGGUCAGCAUGGAUCAGCAGAGAAACUUGUUUGGACUUGUUUGGACUUUGCAGUAACUCAGUGACUUUUUAGUGCUGGUCACAAGAUGACCAGAGAGUGUGUCUAUGUUAGAUAAGUGGAUGAUGUAACCUUUUUGAGUGUGGAUGAUGUAACCUUCUAAGUUGUGGUCAUAGGAUAAUAAAGUAGUCAGGCAGUAUGCUUAUGUUAGAUAAGUUAGGUAUGAACAACUUGUAAAGUAUAUAAGCGCGGGGGAAACUCCAUGUAAUUGCUCACAACUAACUCUCGUCGCCUGAGAGUAAGAUCGUGCAGUUGUGUGCCAGCCACCUCGUGUAUUGCUUUGUGUGGUGUGCGAAUAAACCAGCAUUUCAAAAGGCAAUCGAGUUCGUGCUUGGUGUUCGCGUACGUCGCGGUCCGGGGUCCAGUGCAGAUAUCCGGAAGGGAACUCCUGGUAACCAGACAAGGCUGAGAAGCUGCUCGUGACAGUUGGCGUAGUCGGCAGGAUACGGAAGAAGAGCUCCGGAGCAGGCAAAGACUGCACAGGAGAUCACCCUUUGAGGAAACAUUUCAAAAGGACAUCGAUGUGCAGGCAGACGGGGACCCAAACCCAGAUAAUAUAAGACCAUAUAAGGUGUGGAUACGUAACAGAAAAGAUAACUCUGUGAUUAAAGGUGAGAUUGUAUCACACGGACAAGGAAAUACCCUAUGGGUAUCAACUGGAAAAGGGGACCUCAGAUUAGUAAAAAGCCAAGAUGUUGUCACUAGGUAAA